AGCGAACGCUGGCGGCAGGCUUAACACAUGCAAGUCGAGCGGGCAUAGCAAUAUGUCAGCGGCAGACGGGUGAGUAACGCGUGGGAACGUACCUUUUGGUUCGGAACAACUGAGGGAAACUUCAGCUAAUACCGGAUAAGCCCUUACGGGGAAAGAUUUAUCGCCGAAAGAUCGGCCCGCGUCUGAUUAGCUAGUUGGUGAGGUAAUGGUUCACCAAGGCGACGAUCAGUAGCUGGUCUGAGAGGAUGAUCAGCCACAUUGGGACUGAGACACGGCCCAAACUCCUACGGGAGGCAGCAGUGGGGAAUAUUGGACAAUGGGCGCAAGCCUGAUCCAGCCAUGCCGCGUGAGUGAUGAAGGCCCUAGGGUUGUAAAGCUCUUUUGUGCGGGAAGAUAAUGACGGUACCGGAAGAAUAAGCCCCGGCUAACUUCGUG
rnacentral:rRNA from 1 species